UUGAGUUAUGCUGUCUAUGAUUGCGUGUGUGUGUGUUUAUAUGUGUGUGUAAGCAUUUACACAUGAUGUGGGGAUGUAUGCAUUUGUUGUCGCAUUCUCAAGAACGAAUUCGAUUUCUGAAAUUUGCUCAGCGCUGUUUAUUUGGCUGCUCUGAUGCUCCGCCUGGCUGGAGGCGGAGACGACAUUGUACUAGUCCAAGAACCUUGGGUGAUUGGAGGAAAGGUUUGCGGACUAGGCAACAAAGACUAUAAGCUUUUAGUAGCUGGCAAUGAAGCAAUGCUGACAACAGAGCGGUAAGCCUGGAGCUCCAGUCAGCUCCGGUAAGGCUACUGCCUGCCUAUAUGGCCUACGACAGCGCCGGCCCGCCACCAGACGAGAUUACAAGGUCCCUCGUCCAGGAGUGCGAGAAGCACAGGAUUGGCCUAAUUAUUGGCUGCGACGCCAAUGCUCACACCACACACAGUGGGGGAGUACGGAUACAAAUCCUUCAUCCUUAAUACUAACCUCCUAGUAUGUAAAACGGGUAAUGAACUCGCAUUCAUUAUAAAAAAUAGACGAGAGGUCAUUGACCUGACACUCAUCUCACAAUCUAUGAGUGACCAGUUAACAAAUUGGAGAGUGUCCGAUGAACACUCCUUCUCUGAUCACAGGUACAUAGAAUUCGAACUUCUCGCGAGCCACCCAGAACCAGUUCACUUCCCAAAUCAGAAGAAGACGAACUGGGAAAUCUUCAAAGCCAAACUUGACCGAACCCUUUCGGAACACCCACCAAAAGACCCGGACAACUUAGCUUAUCUCUGCAAUCUUACAGAGACUUUCACUUUAGCAUGCAACAAGGCUUUUAAGGCAGCCUGCCCUAUUAGUAAGUCAAUGCACAAGAAGAAACCACCAUGGUGGACACCUCAACUAAAUGUCCUUCGACAAAGUUGCAGGUCUUUCUUCAAUGUGGUGAAAGCGCAAAAUAACGACCUACAAUAGUCUAAAUACAAAUCAAGUCUGGCUGAAUACAAAAAAAACCACCAGACGGGAAAAAAGGAAAUCUUGGAGAGUUUCUGCACAGAUAUUGAUUCAACUAAUGAAGCUGCAAGGCUUAGAAAAGUUUUAUCAAAAACUACACCCACACUAGGUUAUCUGAAAAAGGAUGACAACUCUUGGUCGGCCUCCAGUGAAGAGUCACUGAAUAUCCUCCUUAAAACACACUUCCCUGGCUGCUCCGAGCAGUCCCCGAGAUGCGCAGAAACCAACUGUAUAGAGAGCGCAUCUUUAAAGUCUCUUAUAAACACAGGUAACAUUAAAUGGGCAGUAAACAGCUUCAACUACAAAAGGCGUGCAAUACAGCCAUAAACUGGCUACACGAAAUCUUCGGGAAGAUUCUGAAGACUGGUCGCAUCCCACCGACAUGGCUGCAGUCUAAAAUAACCUUCAUACCCAAAGCUGGGAAGGCAUCGCACACCAGCGCCAAAGAUUUCAGAGCCAUCAGUCUGUCAUCUUUCAUGCUAAAGACCCUGGAACGUCUUAUAAGUCUCCAUCUCACAGCAUCCAUUGACCUCAGGCUUAUGUCGGAGUCCCAACAUGCCUACAGGAAGGGCAGAUCCACGAAUACUGCCCCUGGAUCCCAUAACCUAACCUAACCUACAUAUUAAAGUUAUUUAUCAAUUUAAA